CCAAAAAUCAGUAGAUUUGUGCUAUGAUCCCUACUAUAAGUAUUGAACUAAAUGAGUGAGUUUUGGGGAGAAACUGCUUGAUUUGAAAGAAUAUGACAUUUUCUUAUCUGAAACCUGCCAUGAAUAUCUGUCAAAUUUUCUUUGUGCCUUUGAAUUUUGGUGUUUUGCAGUACCUGAUAUGUAUUUUACAGGAUUUUUUUCUUCUUCAGAGCACUGUGGUCAGCAUUUGUCUCACGUGAACUGUGGAGACAUUUGGAUACUGUAGCUGAAAGUUCAUCACAAAGUGCUGGUGUUUUGUUAUCUACAAGAGCAGACGGCAACAGAAUUGGAGGUUACCCAAAUCUAAAGAUGUUGAGGAGUACAAUAACAACAAAAAAAACUAUGAAAAACAAAUGAAAUAAAAACAACGUGAAAUUAUAUUGAAUCAUGGCCCUGGGUUCCAGACCGUUCGACAACAACGAAAAA
rnacentral:lncRNA from 1 species